UACGAAGGGGGGCUAGCGUUGCUCGGAAUCACUGGGCGUAAAGCGCACGUAGGCGGCUUCUUAAGUCAGGGGUGAAAUCCUGGAGCUCAACUCCAGAACUGCCUUUGAUACUGAAGAUCUUGAGUUCGGGAGAGGUGAGUGGAACUGCGAGUGUAGAGGUGAAAUUCGUAGAUAUUCGCAAGAACACCAGUGGCGAAGGCGGCUCACUGGCCCGAUACUGACGCUGAGGCACGAAAGCGUGGGGAGCAAACAGG
rnacentral:rRNA from 1 species